UGAUGAAUAAAACCAAAUCACCAUCUUUCGUCUGA
rnacentral:snoRNA from 1 species